CCACUCCAGGUUUUGGUCUGCAAUUUAAAGUUGUUAUCCAAGGGGCUGAAUGCAGUUCAGGGCCUUGAACAGAUUUCUGUAACGUUUGGACUAAAAGUCCUAAAGCAGUGAUGCCCAAACCCUGGCCCUCCAGGUGUUUUGGACUUCAUCUCCCAGAAUCCCAAACCAUUGGCCAAGGUAGCUGAGGCUUCUGGGAGCUGAAGUCCAAAACAACUGGAGGGCCAGGGUUUGGACAUUGCUGCCCUAAAGGAUUCAUACUGUAGUCCCACUGACAAGGAGCCCAACAAUAACAACAGCAAAGAACCCAGUUUGCUAAUCAAAAUACCAAAUGCUUUGCUGAAAUACAGAUAAAUGACAUUCGCAGCGUUCCUACAUCUAGUGACCCAAUAAUAAUAAUAAUAAUAAUAAUAAUAAUAAUAAUAAUAAUAGCUAUAAGGUGAGUUUGACCAGAUUUGCUGGCUCCUCCUAACUGUCAUCUUGAUUCCCCCAAAGAGACUCCUGUAUACUUUGUCUUGAUGUUUUUCCUGGAAUUGAUGUUCUCUAGAUCUUCUUAUUUUGGAAGAAAAGGACCAUGUUUGCCCUUCUCCAGUCCUCUGAUGCCUUCCUUGUCUGCCAAGAUUUCUUUCUCAGGGAUGAUGGCAAGUGGUUCAGGGUACGUCAGCGAGUCCUUUCCAUGCGCUGGGAUGUCAUUCGUCUCCUCCUGGAAAUGUGAACUCAUUUAGGUUAAUUAAGCGAUUCCUGACUAUCUCUUAUCAAUCUUGAAUUGCCGUCUGGAUUCCUUGCCAAGGUCUCUGCUGCUGCUGAUGAUGCUGAUGAUGCUGAUGAUGAUGAUCCAUAGAAACACAGGGUUCUUUUCAGUUUUCUGUGCAGCCAUCAUGCUCUUUGGACAAGUUUGCCAUUUUUCUUCUUCCAAGGGAUUGUUUGUGUUUCUAGCGGCUCCUUCUUCACGAAAUCCAAGCCAUGCUGGGCUGCUUGCAGACUUGCCAUAGGAUUAAGCCCUGAGCUUGAUUAAAUCAGCUUUCCCAUAA